rnacentral:lncRNA from 1 species
UUUUAUUCUCAUCAGAUUUGGUACCCUCCUCUGGUUUGCUUUGAUCGGUACUCUUCAAUUGACACUGCAUGUGCUCGCUUCCACUAUUAGCUUGUACCAUCGGAAUCAAUGGUACAUCUGGAGGUCCUUGACUUCUAGGUAAACUUUGAGAAAUGGGAGGAUCUGCAGGUGGAAUCACUGGUCCAGAUUGAGGCUCUGAGUUGUUAUCAACCUUAUCAGCUACUGUUGGAAGUACGGGAACUCCAGAUGGAU